rnacentral:lncRNA from 1 species
GACCCCAGGAGCGAGCGCAUCACAACACCCGUCCCGGCCCCAUGCGCGGCCCCAUGCACAGCCCCAUGCACGGCCCCCUGCCCGGGGCCGCGGCGGGCGAGCACCUUGGCUUCGCUCUGCCCCGUCCCCUGGCCGCAGCUCCAGCGGCCACCAAAACAAGGUCGGCGGAAAUCACUGCAGUCAGGAGGUCAAGGUCGCGUCUGUCACUGUUUUUACAGAGUAAAGGUCAGUGUCCGGCGAGGAGCUGACCGAGGCUUCGGACUGGCUGAAUGCUAUUUUUCCAGCAGGUGCCUCAACGAUUUCGUUUCCAAGAGUCUGGGCUCCGGAUUUCCUCGCACUUCCUCCACUCAGGAUCUGUGUGUCCACCCGAGAUGGCCCCUGAGGGACGCUGCACGACAGGCAUCAUCGGGUGAGCACUCACGGCCCACCCGCUGUGCGGGGGCCAGGUGCCAGCCCUGGACAGUUCACCCUGUUGUGCACUUGCCCGCGAGGCCCCCGCCUCCAGCCCACCCUGCCCUAGCUUGGCCUGUUCAGUUCCUCUCCGUCGCAGAUCGAUGUCCCCAAUGUUUCCGCUGCUUGCCUCAGAGCUGCCACAAACCAGAGCCGGCCAGAGAGAGCGCUCCCGCCCGUGGCCACAUACCCCAAACGGCGCGGGCCCUCCCGGGGGCCUCUGUGGGCCGUGCCUGUUUGUCUGUCCGCCCCUGGUGGCGGCUGCUCCUGAGCGCACCCCCAAGCCCAGGUCCCGUCACCCAAGUCCGUGCCACCGGGGGCGCAGGGUGGGCCCUAAGGGAAGCCCCUCCUCACCCACCUUGCAGAGGACUGGGCGCCAUGCCGCGCGUGGGUGAGGCCGCAGCCGCUGCCAAGGGGAUGGCGCAUUCGGGGAAGGACCCAGCGCUGUCCCGCCCGGAAGCUGGGAGGGCAGCCGGGGGACGGGAGAGAGGGGCCGUAGGUGCUGUGCGACGGGCUCAGGCCACCCGGGGAGGGGUGAGGCCUGCAGGGCAGAGAGCCAGGCCGAGACCCUCCCGCUAG